UUGCUCUGAAUUAGUUAGAAUCUCUCUAGGGUUUUUCCACUUAAUUUUUUUAGAAUUUAUAACCUGAUUUUCGUGGCUUUGUGGGCUAAAAUGAGAGAGGUCCAAGUCCAAGAUUUUUCUGUUAUAUUUUUUUAUUUAUUUUCCUUUUUUCUUUUUUUUCUUUUUUUUUUCUUUUUUUUUUCUUUUUUUUUUCAUUUUUUUUCUUUUUUUUUCUUCUUUUUUUUUUCAAAACUCGUGGGCUUCACCUAGCGAGCAUGACAAUUCAGGAAAUUCCUCUGAGCGCAGGUGAUUCUGGUGGCUUUUCUUGGGACUCGCUAGGCGAUCCAUUCUGCUCGCCUAGCGAGCAUGACAGCUCAUGAACAAACUUUUGCUCCUUCAAGAUUAACGUUUUUAGGAAAUUCCUCUGAGCGCAGGUGAUUCUGGUGGCUUUUCUUGGGACUCGCUAGGCGAUCCAUUCUGCUCGCCUAGCGAGCAUGACAGCUCAUGAACAAACUUUUGCUCCUUCAAGAUUAACGUUUU
rnacentral:lncRNA from 1 species